GAUGAACGCUAGCGGAAGGCAUAAUACAUGCAAGUCGAACGGAUGUAGCAAUACAUUAGUGGCGCACGGGUGCGUAACGCGUAUGCAACCUACCUUCAUCAGGGGGAUAACUACCCGAAAGGGUGGCUAACACCGCAUAAUACUACUGAAUGGCAUCAUUUGGUAUUUAAAUCUGAGGAGGAUGAAGAUGGGCAUGCGUCUGAUUAGCUAGUUGGUGUGGUAACGGCGCACCAAGGCGACGAUCAGUAGGGGAACUGAGAGGUUGGUCCCCCACACUGGCACUGAGAUACGGGCCAGACUCCUACGGGAGGCAGCAGUAGGGAAUAUUGGUCAAUGGUGGGAACACUGAACCAGCCAUUCCGCGUGCAGGAAGAAGGGUCUCUGACUUGUAAACUGCUUUAGCAAGGGAAGAAACGACCCUUGCGAGGGGCAUUGACGGUACUGUAUGAAUAAGCACCGGCUAACUCCGUGCCAGCAGCCGCCGUAACAC
rnacentral:rRNA from 1 species